UACCCGCAGCACAAGUGGUGGUCAUUAUUAUUGGGCCUAAAGCGUCCGUAGCUGGCUUGUUAGAUGCCUGGGUAAAUCGAUGCGCUCAACGUAUCGAACUCCGGGUAGACCGGCAAGCUUGGGACCGGGAGAGGCGUGAGCUACUCGAGGGGUAGGGGUAAAAUCCUGUAAUCCUUCGGGGAGGAGCAGUGGCGAAGGCGUCACGCUAGAACGGCUCCGACAGUGAGGGACGAAGCCCUGGGGCGCAAACCGG
rnacentral:rRNA from 1 species